UAGGGAAUAUUGGUAAUGGGCGAAAGCCUGAACCAGCAACGCCGCGUGUGCGAUGAAGGCCUUCGGGUUGUAAAGCACUUUUGACCGGGACGAGGAAGGACGGUACCGGUGGAAUAAGCCUCGGCUAACUACGUGCCAGCAGCCGCGGUAAAACGUAGGAGGCGAGCGUUAUCCGGAUUUACUGGGUGUAAAGCGCGUGCAGGCGGUUAGCUAAGUUGGGUGUGAAAGCUCCUGGCUCAACUGGGAGAGGUCGCUCAAGACUGGCUGACUCGAGGAUGGGAUGGGAAGGUGGAAUUCCGGGUGUAGGGGUGAAAUGCGUAGAUAUCCGGAG
rnacentral:rRNA from 1 species